rnacentral:rRNA from 1 species
GUGGGGAAUAUUGGACAAUGGGGGGAACCCUGAUCCAGCCAUGCCGCGUGUGUGAAGAAGGCCUUUUGGUUGUAAAGCACUUUAAGCGAGGAGGAGGCUACCGAGAUUAAUACUCUUGGAUAGUGGACGUUACUCGCAGAAUAAGCACCGGCUAACUCUGUGCCAGCAGCCGCGGUAAUACAGAGGGUGCAAGCGUUAAUCGGAUUUACUGGGCGUAAAGCGCGCGUAGGUGGCCAAUUAAGUAAAAUGUGAAAUCCCCGAGCUUAACUUGGGAAUUGCAUUCGAUACUGGUUGGCUAGAGUAUGGGAGAGGAUAGUAGAAUUCCAGGUGUAGCGGUGAAAUGCGUAGAGAUCUGGAGGAAUACCGAUGGCGAAGGCAGCCAUCUGGCCUAAUACUGACACUGAGGUGCGAAAGCAUGGGGAGCAAACAGGAUUAGAAACCCCUGUAGUCC